UACGUAGGGUGCAAGCGUUGUCCGGAAUUAUUGGGCGUAAAGAGCUCGUAGGCGGUUUGUCGCGUCGGCUGUGAAAACUCGGGGCUCAACCCCGAGCCUGCAGUCGAUACGGGCAAACUAGAGUGUGGUAGGGGAGACUGGAAUUCCUGGUGUAGCGGUGAAAUGCGCAGAUAUCAGGAGGAACACCGAUGGCGAAGGCAGAUCUCUGGGCCGUAACUGACGCUGAGGAGCGAAAGCAUGGGGAGCGAACAGG
rnacentral:rRNA from 1 species